GAAGUAGAGUGACAAAAGUAAAUCUCUAAAAUGAUAGAAGUCAUCAAACAUCGGUCCAAUUGAAAAAUAUUUAGCUUAUAUCUCAAAAAGACUUACGAUCAAAUUUUGCCGCAGAACAUUCUUUGAGCACCCAAGACUCAACUCCUCUAAAUUUUUAUUUAAAAAAAAAAAAAACAUGCAUAUGAAAUGAAAUAGAAAUAAUAAAACAACUUGUGUUUUAUUAUGACCUUAGCUGCUAAUCUUAGAAAUAACAAAACUAACUAUAUGCCUCCUUUGGAGACAAGAGAAGGUACACUCUGUUCAUUUCUGAAGAAGUUUAGAGGAUCAACUAUACUCUUCACUUUUGCCAAUCUUUUGAAAUUGUUUUUGAAGUACUUAACACCCCAAACACUAGCUUUCUUAUAACUUGUGUAACCAUUCUUAUUAUUAACCCCAAUAUCAAGGUCUCUAUAAUUAAUAUAUGCAGUUCUUGGAGACAUUGAAACAAAAGGUUCCAUAUAACUAUAAAGUUUUCUAAUCCAAUUCAUUUUCACUUUUUCCACCUCAUCAUUUUCUUGAUGCCAAUGAACCGAGUAAUGAGUUUGGUAUAAAUUUCCAUAUCUAUGUGGAAAUGGAAUUUCAGACUCAGAAAUAUUAUCCAUAAUGCCACCAUAAGGAAAAAGAUACAUCAUUGCAUCUUUGCCACCAUCUUCAUCAAACAUAGGCCAUAUUCCUUCAAAUCCAAUCUCAGGAAUGGGAAUUUUCACAAAAUCAGAUUUUACUUUGUAGAUGUCUUUUCCAGCUAGUGUUCUAUUAAGCAACACUUCAGGCGAUUCGCCUUUCGGAAAUCCAUAAAGGUAAACAACUGAUUCUAUCCAACUCAUCUGAGUACAAUCUUCUUUAACCAAACCAAGUUCAGGAAAGUUUUGUUGCAUCAAGGGAAUGAGUUUAUCUACACCUCCAAGAAACAAGGUUUGAAAUAAAGCUAGUACUGUUGAAUUUUUCUUCGACACGCCUUUUUUACUUGAAUUUGCCCUUUGCAAGAUAACAUUAAUGAUUAUGUUUUCAUCAAUUUUACUUGCCACAAAUUGCCACUUAUGAAUAAGCUUGGUUGCAUUUUGUUCCAAUGUUUUUGGAAGAGUAAACACUGUCACAAUUGAUGGAACAUGAACAAGUUUUAUCUUCCAUGAAACUAUGACACCAAAACUUGCUCCUCCACCACCUCUAAUAGCCCAAAACAAAUCCUCACCCAUUGCUUGUCUAUCAAGAAACCUACCCUUCACAUCAAUUAUGUGAGCAUCAAUUACAUUAUCAGCUGCAAGACCGAAUUUACGCACCAUGUUUCCAUAGCNNNNNNNNNNNNNNNNNNNNNNNCAGAAAAACCAAGAUUUCGGCUUUUCCGACUAAUUUUGUAGUAAAGUUCACCAAGUGUUGCACCAGAUUGAACCCAAGCUGUUUUUUUCUCUACAUCUAUUUCAAUUUCUCUGAAGUUUGUGAGAUCAAGUAUGACAAAAGGAACAUCGGAGACAUAGGAACGACCCUCGAAGUCGUGGCCACCACUUCGAAUUCGAACCUGCAGGCCAUGGUUUUGUGAACAUGUUAUGGUUGUUUGAAUAUGAGAAAUUUCUUUAGGUGUGAUGAUUACAAGGGGUUUUGGUAUUGUGUUGGAUGCAAAUCUGAGAUUUUGAAUGGUAAAUUGGAGUAUUGAAGAGUAAGAUGAAUUGUUUUUGGUGUAAACAAGUUUAGAGAUUGAAGUGGAGUUAUGUGAAUAAGUAUAGAGACAUUGAAGAAAAUUAUCUUCAUGAGUGCUAGUAUCAAUUGCAGAAGAUUUAAAUGAAAAUAAAAUUGCUGUUAGUACAAUAGUCAAAUAUGAACAUAGAGGCAACAUUUUCUGUUUGUGAUUUUGUGCAAUAUAUGAUGGUUCAAAUUUAUAAAACGAGUUUAUGUAGGCUCAAUUUUUUUUUUGUCAAGUUGUCUGGUCGCUAAAAAUUCCACCGUUAAGAUGAAUAAGUAGAGUGUCUGAGAUUCGAACUCAGAUCCCUACAUAUAUAGUGCAAUGUCUCUACCAAUUGAGUUAAACUGAUGGCGACCGUAGGCUCCGAUUUAUGUUGGUAUUUAGUGUAUGUAGGUUUGGUGAGAAAAACAUAAUACACACUCAGUAGUGAGCUUAAUCUACUAUGGACUGUCGGUAGACAAGUGAAUCACGUGGGACUUGCUUCAAAGUUUGAAAUAUUUUAAUUUUAGAUUAGUUCUAUACUUGCCAAAACAUAGCAGGGUAUUGCAGGGUAUGAGUUGUUUUCAACUAUACCAAAAUAAUUUGUAAGCAAAAAAAACACUUUAUUAAAGUAUGUUUACACCUGAAAUUAAAUUACAUGUUAGACCAAACCGGUAAGAUAGACGAUUGAGGUGAGUAUAUGUUCAACUGAACAUGAGGAAUUUAUUGGAUUGUUGUUUUUUUGCUCUUAUUGGAUGGAAAUUUUGAUCUGGCAUUAUAUGAUAUGUUUUGAUUUGGGGAUUAUUUGGACCGUUGUUCUGUGGGGUUAGAGAUUUUUAGUCCUUAUUCAUUUCAACUUAAUCAAGAUAAGGUAGAGGGUAGUGAUUCCUCUGCUGAUAAACAUGUAUUUGGAUUGAGGUAGGGUAGGAAUAUAUAUGAUGAUAUUUGUUCGUAACCAGGCCUGCAAGUUAAAAUGGACAUUAUUGGCUAGAUAGAACUGUCCGAGAUUAGGUGGUCUACAUGCAACAGGGGUGCACAACAGAUGGGUUGGGCGGAUUCGGGUUCAAAAAUAUUGAAUUUGUAUUCAUAGUAGUGGUUUUCUCUUGCCACAACAGAUGGGUUGGGCGGGUUCGGGUCCAGAUUCCUACAUUUAUAGUGUGAUUUCCCUACCAACUUAGCUAAACUCACGGAAAUUAAUUAACCACAUUUUUAACCUGAUUAAUAAGGCGUAUUACGAUGUAUAAAAAGUGAAUGUUCGUGUAUCAUUUACGUAAAGAAAAGUAUGCCAGUUAAAUAUACUAUGCUGGACAAGUCGGGCAGGGUAUGAGUUGUUUUCAACUUUAUAAAAUACUCCGUAUUAUUUUUUUAUUUGAGUAAGAAGUGGUUGUUGCUAGUUGCUAAAAUACAGGGAGACCAUUCCCAAAGUUACAUAAAGAAGAAAGCCGAUGAUUGAUUGGUUAAAUUAUUAAUUAAUUAAAUGCAAUAAUUGUUUUUUUAGUAAUUCAAGCUAAACUCGAUUUAAAUAUGGAAAAGUAGGGAAUUCAGAUUUUCAACUUCAAUCGCUGUAAGAAUACUUCACGUAUAAUAUUAUAAGCAAAAAAUAUUACUUUUUUAUGUCUCAAAUUAUAAGCAAAAAAACUAAUUUUUAUCAUUUUUAAAAUUUACUUUUACUUAUUUUCAUGGAGAAUUUAAUUUAUAUGCACCAUCAGUCUAAAGUUAUUUUCACAUGCGUCCAAUAAUAUUUCGACACAUCAUGUAUGGUAAUUAAAAACACAUGAUGUGUCACAUUCAUUAAAUGAUGUGGCAACGCGUCAUUGGAUGUAUGUGCAAAAAAAAUUUACACUGAUGGUGCAUAACAAUUAAACUCUUUCAUGAAAUUAAAUGCAAAUUGCAUUUAAUUUACUCUUUUUCUUCUUUUUCCCAUAAUCAAUAACCAAUAGAAAUUCUUUUUACAUCUUCCUAUGAAACUUAUUUAAAUGAAAACACAAAAAGUCAUACGUCAAAUUACCAUAUUUUACUUUUCUUAAUAAGUGUGAAAAUAUAUUUUUUUGUGGGAUGGAGGGGUAUCCCUUUAAGGCCUCAUGUUCGAUUAUCUCUGGUGUCAAUUUGAAUGAGCAAGUUUAGCUUCUUCAAAAAAAAAUCUCUUUAACAAUAUCUCUUGUUGCUAGAUACCAAUUGGCUGAAUUGAGUUAGACCAUCUUCAAUGAUGGGUACUUAUUUUUUAAGUACCAGUACCUAAUAGGUACCUCGUUGCAGCAAAACAUAAAUGAGUACCUAAUAAAUAAUAUUGAUUCUACAAUAAGCAUGGAUACCUAUUUUGUUUUUGUGGGUCCUAUUUAUAAUGAUGUAUGGUCAUUGGUGAGAUGUGUUAUUGGGUGGACACAUUUAGAAUUUUUUAAGAAAUGUUGGGUUAGAGAAAUUGCGUAGUUAUUAGGUACUAUUAUUAAAAAAUUAUAAAUGAGUGAUGUGUACACGUAAAAUCCAAUUAAGUACUCAAAAAUGAAUAUUUUCAUUGUGGAUGCUCUUAAACUUACAUAAUAAUUUAGCUACAAUAUUACGAUAUCAUAUAUUUCAUAUUUCAUGUUGUCAUCCAAUAGAGAUAGAGUAAUUAUUAAUUAUUGUGUGAAACAUCUUAAUCCAAUUCCCAAAAAAGAAUCAUGUUUAACACAAAGCAUGAUUAAAGUGUUAAUUAAUGAAAAAAAAAAAAUUUGGUAAAGAAAUCAUUAUAAAAAUGGACAAAAAAUAAAUCUUUAAAGAGCCUUAGAAAUUUGAAUUAAAUCUUAUAAAAAUGAAUAAGAAAAAGGAAAUUGCUAGUCACGACAGAUAACUUCCCGAAAACAUCACGAAUGCAUUGUUACUAAAUAUCUUUCCUAAAUAACAUCCAUGAUCUCCCUUGUUUUCUAGCAAAGGAGUAAUUUAAUUGGCCAAGUAUUUUUCGUGAUCAAUUCGGGAUGAAUUCUCUUGGGACAAAUAGCAUUAUCAUAAAAAAUAUCCCUAAAUUUUUCGUGAUAUACUGAUGUUUUGGAGAUAACUAUCCCUAAAUUGAUUCCCAUGUAACUUUUUUUCUUCUCGGACUUCGGCAUUCAUUAUCAUAAAAAAUAUAAAUAAAUAAAACGUGUUUGUACCAAAAAAAUAAAAGAAUAAAUAAAACGUGUAAGGUGCCUCCAUCAGCUUCCUAACCUGAAAGUGAAAGGCCAGCUUGUUUGGUACUUUUUGAUUUGAUUAUCUUGUCUGCUACUACCUCCAGUUUGCAUUAUAAGAGAUUUUUUUAGAGAUUUUUUGGUCAUACUUAAAUAAAAUGUCACAACUUCUAAGGUGUAUUCUAUUUCAUCUAUACAUUUGUAUUUUAAAUUUUUAUGGAAAAAUAGGAAUGAAGACUAAUUAUAUUUACUCGUACUAUAAAACAGACUUAAUUAGAGAUUAGAGCUUAUUUGAAAACAAAAACACAACUAAGCUUGGUCUAAUUGAUAAAGAUUAAACUCAUUAGAAUAAGACAUAAAUUUCACUGAAAAUCUUUAUUGUGUAUAACAUGUAAGUGUAUCCUUAAAAUCACUAUUUCAAUCUUGGGACUUUUCAUAGUGAGCCCCUAAACAAAACUCUCUUAAACUUUUAUCAAUUAAAGGAAGCACACAUAUAAAAGAGAAAUAACAAAGCAACUUAUAUUUUAUUAUUAGUACCACCUUAGUUGUUCUAAGAAAUUCUAUUUGUGUCCCUCGGACACAAGAGAAGGUAUACUUUGUUCAUUUCUGAAAAAAUUUAAAGGAUCAACUUUGGUUUUCACUUUUGUCAAUCUUUUAAAGUUGUUUUCGAAGUACUUAACACCCCAAAUACUAGCUUGCUUAUAACUUGUGUAACCUAUCUUAUUAUUGACCCCAAUAUCAAGAUCUCUAUAAUUCAAAUAAGCACUUCUUGGUGACUUUGAAACAAAAGGUUCCAUAUAACUAUAAAGUUUUCUCAUCCAAUUUAUGUGCAACUUUUCAGCUUCAUCACCUUCUUGAUACCAAUGAACUUCAUAUUGAAUUAUGUAUAAGUUUCCAUAUCUAUGUGGAAAUGGAGUUUCAGAUUUUGAAAUAUUAUCCAUUUUGCCACCAUAAGGCAAUAGUACCAUCAUUGAAUCUUUGGCACCAUCUUCAUAAAACAUAGGCCAUAUUCCUUCUAAACCAAUUUCAGAAAUGGGAGUUUUCACAUAAUCUGAUUUUGCUUUGAAAAUAUCCUUUUCACCUAUUACUCUAUUCAACAACACUUCAUGUUUUACACCAUUCAAUCCGAAAAUGUAAAGAACUGAUUCAAUCCAACUCAACUCAGAACAAUCUUCUCUAACCAAACCAAGCUCAGGAAACUUCUCUUGCACCAAGGGUAUGAGUUUAUCUACACCUCCAAGAAACAAGGCUUGAAAUAAAGCUUGUACCGUUGAAUUCGACUCACCUUUUUUACUUGAAGUUGAAUUUACCCUUUUUAUGAUAAUAUGAAUUGUUAUACUUUCAUCAAGUUUACUUGCAACAUAUUGCCACUUAUGAAUAAGCUUUGUUGCAUUUUGUUCCAAUGUUCUUGGAACAGUAAACACUGUCACAAUUGAUGGAACAUGAACAAGUUUUAUCUUCCAAGAAACUAUGACGCCAAAACUUGCUCCUCCACCACCUCUAAUAGCCCAAAACAAAUCCUCACCCAUUGCUUGUCUGUCAAGAAACCUACCCUUCACAUCAAUUAUGUAAGCAUCGAUGAUGUUAUCGGCUGCAAGACCAUAUUUCCGCAACAUGAGUCCAUGGCCACCACCACUGAAGUGUCCACCAACACCUACUGUAGGACAAAUACCAGCAGGGAAAGCGAGAUUUCGGCUCUUUCGGCUAAUUGCAUAGUACAGUUCACCAAUUGAUGCACCAGUUUGAACCCAAGCAGUUCUACUUUCUACAUUUAUUUCAAUUGCUUUGAAGUCUAUGAGAUCAAUGACAACAAAUGGAACCUCAGAAACAUAGGACAAACCCUCAUAGUCAUGUCCACCGCUUCGGACUCGAAUCUGCAGGCCAUGGUUUUGGGAACAGAUUAUGGUUGCUUGAAUAUGGGAAAUUUCUUUAGGUGUGAUGAUUACAAGGGGUUUUGAUGCUUUGUUGGUUGCAAAUCUGAGAUUAUGAAUUGAAAAUUGGAGUAUUGAUGAGUAAUUGGAAUUGGUUUUUGUGUAUACAAGUUUAGAGAAUGAAGUGGAGUUAUGUGAAUAACUAUAGAGACAUUGAAGAAAAUUAUCUUCAUGAGCACUAGUUUCAAUUCUUGAAGAUGCAAAUGAAAAUAAAAUUGCUAUUAGUGCAAUUGUCAAAUAUGAGCUUAGAGACAUCAUUUUUUGUUUGUGAUUUUUUGUGCUUAUGAUGCUUCAAAUUUAUAAACAAGUUUUUAGUAGUAAUCUUGAGAAUGGGUUAACUAGAGAGUGUGCUAU
rnacentral:lncRNA from 1 species